CGCUGGCGGCGUGCUUAACACAUGCAAGUCGAACGAUGAACCACUUCGGUGGGGAUUAGUGGCGAACGGGUGAGUAACACGUGGGCAAUCUGCCCUUCACUCUGGGACAAGCCCUGGAAACGGGGUCUAAUACCGGAUACAACACUCUCGGGCAUCCGAUGAGUGUGGAAAGCUCCGGCGGUGAAGGAUGAGCCCGCGGCCUAUCAGCUUGUUGGUGAGGUAACGGCUCACCAAGGCGACGACGGGUAGCCGGCCUGAGAGGGCGACCGGCCACACUGGGACUGAGACACGGCCCAGACUCCUACGGGAGGCAGCAGUGGGGAAUAUUGCACAAUGGGCGAAAGCCUGAUGCAGCGACGCCGCGUGAGGGAUGACGGCCUUCGGGUUGUAAACCUCUUUCAGCAGGGAAGAAGCGAAAGUGACGGUACCUGCAGAAGAAGCGCCGGCUAACUACGUGCCAGCAGCCGCGGUAAUACGUAGGGCGCGAGCGUUGUCCGGAAUUAUUGGGCGUAAAGAGCUCGUAGGCGGUCUGUCGCGUCGGAUGUGAAAGCCCGGGGCUUAACCCCGGGUCUGCAUUCGAUACGGGCAGACUAGAGUGUGGUAGGGGAGAUCGGAAUUCCUGGUGUAGCGGUGAAAUGCGCAGAUAUCAGGAGGAACACCGGUGGCGAAGGCGGAUCUCUGGGCCAUUACUGACGCUGAGGAGCGAAAGCGUGGGGAGCGAACAGGAUUAGAUACCC
rnacentral:rRNA from 1 species